UCACCAAGGCGGCGAUCCGUAGCUGGUCUGAGAGGAUGAUCAGCCACAUCGAGACUGAGACACGGCCCGAACUCCUACGGGAGGCAGCAGUGGGGAAUAUUGGACAAUGGGCGAAAGCCUGAUCCAGCCAUGCCGCGUGUGUGAAGAAGGCCUUCGGGUUGUAAAGCACUUUCAGUGAGGAAGAAGGCUUGUCGGUUAAUACCCUGCAAGAGCGACAUCACUCACAGAAGAAGCACCGGCUAACUCCGUGCCAGCAGCCGCGGUAAUACGGAGGGUGCAAGCGUUAAUCGGAAUUACUGGGCGUAAAGCGCGCGUAGGCGGCUUGACACGCCGGUUGUGAAAGCCCCGGGCUCAACCUGGGAACGGCAUCCGGAACUGUCAGGCUAGAGUGCAGGAGAGGAAGGUAGAAUUCCCGGUGUAGCGGUGAAAUGCGUAGAGAUCGGGAGGAAUACCAGUGGCGAAGGCGGCCUUCUGGACUGACACUGACGCUGAGGUGCGAAAGCGUGGUAGCAAACAGGAUUAGAUACCCUGGUAGUCCACGCCGUAAACGAUGUCG
rnacentral:rRNA from 1 species